ACGCAGCAUGACAACCUGGUUGACGGUCUGCUUGGUGGGGCGUUACACGUAUCUUUGUAGCAGGCAGCCUGUAUGGUAGUUCACCAGACUUUACUUUUCGUAGCUGUGUAGGAGAAUUUACGCAGCAGGUUAGGAUAAUUAACGUAUCAGGUUGGGAUAAUUAGGUGAAGGUUAGGAAAAGGGUUAGGGUUUGCUAAAAUGCAAAACAAGUAAACCUUAGACGUCAAUUUCAAAUAAACUGUAAUCCAUCUCGCCAUGAACCAUAUAUAUCCCACAGGCGCGCAUACUCGCCAAGAAUAUUAAACACAGACUUCUAUCAUGACAUUACACUGGGCCACACAGUUGAGUAAAAAACAACAAACAAAAACGUUUUAAUGUUUAUUGCAAUUGCAUUUAUCUCUUUAAUAUUUCUAUAACAAAUGGGCAGGCUUUGCAUACAUUUUGUACUAUGUUAUUUAUGACAGAAGGCUAUGAAUGAUCCGUUAUCGUUUUAAUUUAAUUUAAGCUAACUAAUAGAUGAAUAAUGUUUUCAUAAAGCUAAACAAGCUGUGUGACAUUGCCUCUGAUCUGGGGCUAUUGGCAGGAAUAGCCUAGCCUACGAAUAUACACUGUUGACUCCUAACCCAAUCUCCCGUUAAAAAUAGUGCUGGCUACAGUUCAGGUUUCAGGGUAUGUCUUAAGGUUCCGUCUUGGUUCCUUCAAUUGAGCAUAGAGCAAAACAAAAAUGCAUUAAGAUAGCCUAACGCUAAAAUAAAUAUAACAAAUAUUACAAUUAUUUGAAAUUCUUACAAUUGUAGCGUAGGCCUAUUCAUGAAAUAGAGGCUAGAGUUGAAAGAAGCAUGACAUUUAAAUGAAGUAAACUGGACACAUUGUGCUCAGGCCAAAUUGGGUAAAUAUUGCAAAAUGGAAUAAAUGUUUUAUAACCUAUACAGUGAGCAAAGAAGCGCCGACACUGCAUGAUAUGUAGCCUAGCCUACUGCAAGUAAGAAAUGAUGUUGAGGGUUGAUGUAAAAGCUAUAUAUAUGCCUAUCCAUAAAUGGGAUGCUGAGAGUUGCUGCACUCUGUGGGUCAUUUUUUGUUUUCAUCAGCGAGUGACUUCCAAGCGUGUUACGGCUGACCCACCUCUGCUUUCAACUCGUGUAAUCUCUUGGGGUCAUUAAAAGUGAUCAACUAUGGCUGCAACAGUUGCCAGACACAAGCACGUGCACGUAAGCCACGACUGCCACAGUGCACAGUCUAAGGUUGUAGCAAAGCAGUAUACAAGGUAAGGAAGAUGGGCCCAUAGGAAUCCUAUGCUUCAUUUGAAACGUUUACACAGGCAACCCAAUUUUGACGGAUCAGAUCUGCUCUGAAAAAGAUCUGAUGUGAAAAUAUCUGAUGUGAUUGGUCAAAAGACAAUUACUGAAAAAAAGAUCAGAAUUAGGCUGCCUGUGUAAAUGUAGCUCAUGUGGUUUGGAAACUGGUGGCCAGAUUUACACAUUUUUUGCACAGGAGUAUAAUAAGCACCUGCUAUUUACCAGAGCGAAUAAUGCAUUUAAAUGGUAGAGCUUAUUUAGCAUAUUUAGAUUCAAUGUAAAUUAAGACAGUUAACUGUUUUUCCUCUACUAUUUGUUUCUGGUCUUUAUUCCCCUCUGAGGAUAAAGCACUGGUGUAAAUACAUAAAGUAUAUCUGGCCCCGGGUGUACAGUUUCAAAUGGCAGUUAGUGUAUUCAGCUGGGCUUUUAACAGUGGGUAAGUUUACACCUGGAGAGAGCACUUGUAACUCACUAACAGGUUGGUUCCCUGCUAAUUGCCU
ensembl:lncRNA